rnacentral:rRNA from 1 species
CGGGUGAGUAACGCGUGAGGAACCUGCCUUGAAGAGGGGGACAACAGUUGGAAACGACUGCUAAUACCGCAUGACGCAUAGGGGUCGCAUGAUUCUUAUGCCAAAGAUUUAUCGCUUCAAGAUGGCCUCGCGUCUGAUUAGCUAGUUGGCGGGGUAACGGCCCACCAAGGCGACGAUCAGUAGCCGGACUGAGAGGUUGAACGGCCACAUUGGGACUGAGAUACGGCCCAG